rnacentral:rRNA from 1 species
AACUAUAACGGUCCUAAGGUAGCGAAAUUCCUUGUCAGGUAAGUUCUGACCCGCACGAAAGGUGUAACGAUCUGGGCACUGUCUCAACAACCCGCCCGGCGAAAUUGUAGUACCGGUGAAGAUGCCGGUUACCCGCGACUAGACGGAAAGACCCCAUGGAGCUUUACUGUAGCCUAAUAUUGGAUUUCGGUAUUUCACGUACAGGAUAGGUGGGAGACUGGGAAGCACAGGCGUCAGCUUGUGUGGAGUCGACCUUGGGAUACCACUCUUGGAGUGCUGGAAUUCUAACCUGCGGCUUUGAAGCAAGUCGGGGGACAUUGUUAGGUGGGCAGUUUGACUGGGGCGGUCGCCUCCUAAAGAGUAACGGAGGCGCUCAAAGGUUCGCUCUGCAUGGAUGGAAACCAUGCGUCAGAGUGUAAACGCAAAAGCGAGCCUAACUGCGAGAAUGACGGUUCGAGCAGUAACGAAAGUUGGAGUUAGUGAUCCGGCGGUAUGUGAAUGGAAAUGCCGUCGCUCAACGGAUAAAAGCUACCCUGGGGAUAACAGGCUGAUCUCCCCCAAGAGUCCACAUCGACGGGGAGGUUUGGCACCUCGAUGUCGGCUCAUCGCAUCCUGGGGCUGUAGUAGGUCCCAAGGGUUGGGCUGUUCGCCCAUUAAAGCGGUACGCGAGCUGGGUUCAGAACGUCGUGAGACAGUUCGGUCCCUAUCUGUCGUGGGCGUAGGAUAUUUGCAAGGAGCUGUCCCUAGUACGAGAGGACCGGGAUGGACGCACCUCUGGUGCACCAGUUGUCACGCCAGUGGCACAGCUGGGCAGCUAUGUGCGGAACGGAUAAACGCUGAAGGCAUCUAAGCGUGAAGCCGCCCUUAAGAUAAGAUAUCCCUUCUGUUUACAGAGUAAGACCCCUUGAAGACUACAAGGUUGAUAGGCUCAAAGUGUAAGCACGGUGACGUGUUUAGCUAGCGAGUACUAAUCGGUCGAGGGCUUAACCUU